GAGGACAAGAAGCACGGAAGGAACAAUGUGAGCAAAGGCACUGGAAAAACACGACAUGUACGAGAGUAUAAAAACUGAUGUGAAAUUACACAGCUUGAGAAGCCCCAAAUCAAAGAGUUUGAAGAUAUUCAGAUCAUCUUUAUACACUGUGUAGAAGUCCUUUCUACAACAUCCAUGAUGGAAGAAUGGAGAAACUCGUAGCUCUGAGAAACUCUGAAGGAAGGAGAUCGAACCUGUCUCGGAGGCUCUGAAACAAGCUGCCUGCUUGCUUCUAAGGAGAAUUUUAAGUGUUGACCACGUCUAUUAGAGACCUAAGUGGUUUGAGAUUUGGUACCCUAGUGACGGCCUCUCUCCCUCUGCAGCACUGUGGCACCUUGAUAUCCAGCAGGGCACCUCCUCUGACAGGCCCCAAAGUCUGUUUAGAGAAGAGGACCUGGGGCCAACAGAGACCUCAUCCUGGAAGACCCUUGUUUACAUAACUUCCUCCCCGCUCCAAUCCUGGGGAAGCCCCUCCUUUGGCUUCCUUUGGAGUUUGGACCAACGUUUAUCUUUCUUCAGCUGGCCUCUCCAUAAGAUUUUGUGAAAACUGCUUUAAAAUUAUUUAAAAUGGCAUAAUGCCUAAAGUGCACAUUUGUCAUCAGCUGAAAGCUUUUAUAGUUUUACAAAACUUUCUGAGUGUUUUUAACUUUAUGCUCAUGUCCCAAGGUAAUUAUUGCAAAUGACAUACUUCUGUUAAUUAAAAUAAUAAAUACUUUAUAGGCAUUUUAAUAAAAUGUGGUGAUUUAAA